UGCCUACGGGAGGCAGCAGUGGGGGAUAUUGCACAAUAGGGGGAACCCUGAUGCAGCGACGCCGCGUGGGUGAAGGAGCGUUCCGGCGCGUAAAGCCCUAUCGGCAGGGAAGAAGAUGACGGUACCUGACCAAGAAGCCCCGGCUAACUACGUGCCAGCAGCCGCGGUAAUACGUAGGGGGCAAGCGUUAUCCGGAUUUACUGGGUGUAAAGGGGGCGCAGACGGCAAUGCAAGCCAGGAGUGAAAGCCCGGGGCCCAACCCCGGGACUGCUCUUGGAACUGCAUGGCUGGAGU
rnacentral:rRNA from 1 species